AUUGCCUCUUGGCCUUUUGGCUAAGAUCAAAUUUAAUAUCUGAUUUAUCAGUUUAAUAUCUGACACAUCCUCUUAUCAGAGGACAAUAUUUAUUAAAUGGAUUUUUGCAGCAGGGAGAUAAAAUGGGAACUUAUUUAGUCCACUCCAUGCAUCAACCUGGCAUUGCAGUACCUCCAGGAAUGGUGCUCCAAUU
ensembl:snRNA U2 U2 spliceosomal RNA